GUUUGCUGUUGGUGCAAGUGGAACUAAAGGAAAAGCACAUUGACGAAGUAAGAAACACAGCAGCUAAGACUUUUUGUUAUUUUACUGGAGAACAUAAAAAACAUGGUGGAGUGAAUGAUUGGCAGGAUUUAAAAAAAGUGUCUCACCACGCCAUUAGAUUCCAUCCGAGAAGCCGUGUUUACUGUGUCUCCAAACAGACAAUACCUGGGCAUCUUCAGACCCACCACACCUGCGACUACCAUUCCCGAGUGAAUACCUGUGUGAAGACCACCGCAAAAGAGUUUAAAAGAAAUGACACGCAGAAGCACACAGAGAGGCCAGAGAGAGAGUAUAAGGGGUAUUGAUUGACUGCAUUCGCCUCCAUCUCGCUCCUGUUGUCCACUUCCUUUUUUGUUCGGUCCUAGUGAUCAUCCUUUCCCUCUCUCUCUUUCUCUGCGGGCAUGUUUUGCUCAUUUAACUUCAUUACAGUGGCUGACAGCCAGAAAGUCAACAAAACACAGCCUGGUAUGAUCACCUGCAGACCCCCGUUCCUCCCCCAUGGCCCAUCUCGGCCCCUCCUGGGUUAUUCAGGCCCGUUUCCCUGCAGUCUAUUGCUCAAUUGCAUUGAUAACAGUCUGACAGGCCACAGCAGAAGCCAGGAAACAUUGUCCCUCCUUUUCGCCUGCAAACCCGUUCAGCAAGGUCACCGAUCCCCAACUGACAGCCCAACUGCCAGCUACAAACUGCCUCCAAAUGAAAGAAUUUCUCUGAAGUGUCGAGCACGCCUGUCUGCCAGCCUCCUUCUGAAAGGAGGAGAGGAAGCAGGCCACCGUGGAGAGAAAGUCCAGGCAUUCUUCCAGCAGAAUUCUGAAUCAACAAAGCAACAUUUCUCGCCCCAUAAAGAACCUCCGCGAGUCAACAUUUGCACAAAAACGAACGUCCGAUCUAUACGUACCCACGGGACCGGGGUGAAUGUCAACGUUAUGGUUAUGAGUUAUUUAUAAGAUCACAUAAUACCUUAUUCAUUAAACAUGAAGUCGUCAAUCUGGAAUGAGGAAUCGAGAAACUGCAGUUCCAUAUUAAGGCCCUGACAUAAACCAUACGCUGAGUGAUUUACACCUCAGCAGGUUUACAAAUAGAUGGACUAGGGCAUGCUGGGAUUGAGGACUGCGUUUUGCGAAGGUAUUUUCAGCCUUUUUUGUUGAGCUGUAUUAAAAAUGCAUGAAAAACUUGCUUGAGGAGCAGCUUUAAGACUUGUUUUGUCGCUGUAAAGUUGCAGUUUUUAAAUUUAGAGAUGCUGUUUCUGCAGGUCUCACUUUUAGACAAACUCAUAGCUGUCUGUUCUGACAUCAAUAUUUAUUCUAUAUUUGCUCUCGGGUGUCACAAGGGAAGGAAAAUGUCAUGUUUAAGAACAUCAUUUGUAAAGUAAUUUAAUUCAGCUUACCCUACAUAGCACAUAACUCUAUGUAUCUGGCAGUUAGAAUUAAAACAAUUGGUUUCACUUUAAGUUAACUAGCACUUGCUUCAAACCCACAGUUUCUUGCAUUGAUAUGAUCCUGAAAUAUGUGGAUGGUACAUCAAACGCUUUUGGCUUGUGUCAUAGUGCUACUAAAUCUGAUUCAGAUUAGUGAAUCGUUCAUCGAAAUAGCUCUUUCUUCAUCAUUUGUAGCUAAUUGGAUUCAUUCCAAUAAUCAUUCACCCUAAAUAACAUGUAAAAUUUGAAUCAUUGUAAUGAUUCAGUUCAUGCAAAAUGACUCUCAUAUUUGGCAUUAGAAAGACUGAUUCCUUUUAGUGAUUUGAGUUCAUCCUAAAUGACUCUUUCUCCCUUAUCUGUUGCAUUGAAAACUCUCAUUUGCAGUUAAAAGUGUUAAUAAUUUAGUUUUUUUCUAAUUUACGAAUUUUCUUAUUUAGCAUUGGUAAAUUGGAAUCACUCUAGUGAACCAGUUUAUCCUGACUCUCUUGCUCUCGCUCUUACUCUCUUUCUCAUAUGUAGCACUAAAAAGAUGCAUUCUAAUGAAUUCUAAAUGGUCUUUGUGUGUUCUAAAUGUUUUAUGUGCAGCAUUGGAAAGUCUUAAUGAACUGGUUCUAGAUGGUUCACUCAGUCUUUGCAUUCCCAUUUGGACAGUUUCCUGAUUUCCAGUUUCUUUCGGUUAUUUUAAUUGGGGUGUAUUAUAAUUAAAAAUUUAUUAAAAUGGUAUAGUGUUGUAUACAUUUGUCAGUUUUAUGUUAGCAACACUGACAGUGCAAACUACAUUGUCAAAUAACUGGAAACCGUUUCCAUUUCCAUCUCAAAACCUUAAUGUUGAUUAUAAAAAAAAGUUAUGAAGACAUUAUGUGUCAGCUAUUAUUAUUCACAAUAAGAAUUGUUUGAAUUUGAAUCAGUCAUUAAUACAGUACCGUAAUGUGCCGGACCGUUCUGUGAUGGAAGGGGUGUUUGUUCGAUCAUGACAGGACAGUGACACACUGCCGCAUGUGGACUCUCUCUCUUUCAUUAAUCACUCUUUAUCAGCAUGAAGAGAGAACAGAUCAGGCCUCUUCACAGAAUUCAGGGGCUGCCUGGCAACAUGGUGAUACUCCGUCAUAAAUAACAACCCACUGUGUCUCUGUUUCAUAAGCCAUUUCAGCCUUGUGGCUCUAUUUUUGUUUGCCUCCGAGGAUGACUGGCUGUCGGAUAAACACUGUAAAUUUGGGAGAAUGCGAGAUGCAGGGGCUAUUCUGAGCUGCAGGCUUCUUCGUGUUGAUGUUACAACAUUCCAGCUUUACACCAGAGAGUCUCUGCAGGGGGUUGAUGGCAGGCUCUCACAGGAUUUAUAAUAGUGAAUGUUCCAUAAGAGAGCGGAUCUAGUCAGUUUGAGCAGGAGUGGUGUUUGUGUAAUUACUGUAUUUAUGUGCAUUCAAUUACUUGUGCAUGGUCUUUAUAUGCAGCAUAUGUGUGUACAUGGUCAUUGGGUUGAAAAUGAGGUAAAAUGUAAUUUUUUGUCAUAGCAAAGAUUUAAUCUGAUCGUAAAAUAAAUAAUAGAAACUAAAAGAUUGACCUGAAUGUAAAUUGGAGAUUCAGCUUUCAUAUUUUGUGGGAUGAGUUGCUUUGCACACAAUUAAACCAAUA